CAGCAUACAAACUCCACACAACAGGGGCACUCCUGACCAGAAUCAAACCCACCCCAACAGAAGGCAGAAAUCUUUACACAUGGCUGUAAGAAAGACCACAGCAAACACAAGGUAAUGCAAAAGGACCUUUUAUUAAAAUACACUCAGUAACGUAGAAAUAUCUCCCGCAGCAGACCAGAGCGCAGUGAGAGAGAGACUGGCAGGAGCUCUUCAGAGAGAGAGAGAGAUACCAGGCUACUCCUUCACACCAGCAGCUCACUCUGCACUUCAGAGCAAGCAUUGGACAGUCCCACGACCACAUCCCGCCCCUUCCUGUCUGAAGUGCGCAGCGCCUCCAGCACUUCCUCUGAGAUGGGUGAGCGGGCCGGCCGACUGAACCCUGCUCCCCAGCCAGGAGCCUCCAGCUCAGGAAGGUCUGCAUAGGACAGGAUGGAGUCAGGGCUCCAGCUGUCAGAUGCCUCACUGUCCGAGGGUCGUUCAGCAGGGGAGAAUGGGUCCUGGGAGAGAUCUCCUGGACAUCGAGAGAGAGGUGUUAAUACAGACACACUGACUG
rnacentral:lncRNA from 1 species